rnacentral:rRNA from 1 species
UACGAAGGGGGCUAGCGUUAAUCGGAAUUACUGGGCGUAAAGCGUGCGCAGGCGGUUUUGUAAGUCUGACGUGAAAUCCCCGGGCUUAACCUGGGAAUUGCGUUGGAGACUGCAAGGCUGGAAUCUGGCAGAGGGGGGUAGAAUUCCACGUGUAGCAGUGAAAUGCGUAGAGAUGUGGAGGAACACCGAUGGCGAAGGCAGCCCCCUGGGUCAAGAUUGACGCUCAUGCACGAAAGCGUGGGGAGCAAACAGG